rnacentral:rRNA from 1 species
GAACGCGAAGAACCUUACCUACCCUUGACAUGCCAGGAAGCCCGCAGAGAUGUGGGUGUGCCCGAAAGGGAACCUGGACACAGGUGCUGCAUGGCUGUCGUCAGCUCGUGUCGUGAGAUGUUGGGUUAAGUCCCGCAACGAGCGCAACCCUUGCCAUUAGUUGCUACAUUCAGUUGGGCACUCUAAUGGGACCGCCGGUGACAAACCGGAGGAAGUGGGGAUGACGUCAAGUCCUCAUGGCCCUUAUGGGUAGGGCUUCACACGUAAUACAAUGGUCGGUACAGAGGGCUGCCAACCCGCAAGGGGGAGCUAAUCCCAGAAAGCCGAUCGUAGUCCGGAUUGUAGUCUGCAACUCGACUGCAUGAAGCCGGAAUCGCUAGUAAUCGCGGAUCAGCAUGUCGCGGUGAAUACGUUCCCGGGUCUUGUACACACC